AAUUGGAGGGCAAGUCUGGUGCCAGCAGCCGCGGUAAUUCCAGCUCCAAUAGCGUAUAUUAAAGUUGUUGCAGUUAAAAAGCUCGUAGUUGAAUUUCGGGAUCAAUAUUUCGGUCAUGCCGUUGGUAUGCACUGUUAUCAUUGAUUUCUCACCUUCUAAAGAACUGUAAUGCCAUUAAUUUGGUGUUACAGGGGAUUAGAACUGUUACCUUGAAAAAAUUAGAGUGUUUAAAGCAGGCUCACGCUUGAAUACAUUAGCAUGGAAUAAUGAAAUAGGACAUCCGAUUCUAUUUUGUUGGUUUCUAGGAUCGAUGUAAUGAUUAAUAGGGAUAGUUGGGGGCAUUAGUAUUCAAUUGUCAGAGGUGAAAUUCUUGGAUUUAUUGAAGACUAACUACUGCGAAAGCAUUUGCCAAGGAUGUUUUCAUUAAUCAAGAACGAAAGUUAGGGGAUCGAAGACGAUCAGAUACCGUCGUAGUCUUAACCAUAAACUAUGCCGACUAGGGAUCGGAUGAUGUUAAUUUUUUAAUGACUCAUUCGGCGCCUUACGGGAAACCAAAGUGU
rnacentral:rRNA from 1 species